rnacentral:rRNA from 1 species
AUAAGCAAAAUAAGGGCGUAUGGGGGAUGCCUUGGCUCUCAGAGGCGAUGAAAGGCGUGAUAAGCUGCGAAAAGUUACGGGGAUUGGCACACACGAUACGAUCCGUAAAUACCUGAAUGGGGCAACCCACUAUGUUGAAGACAUAGUACACCGAUAGGUGGGCAAACCCGCUGAACUGAAACAUCUAAGUAGGCGGAGGAGAAGAAAACAAAAGUGAUUCCGUAAGUAGUGGCGAGCGAACGCGGAUUAGCCCAAACCAAUGUUGUUACGGCAAUGUUGGGGUUGUAGGACCACGACAUUUCUUGCAUGAAGAAUUAGAAUCUACUGGAAAGUAGAGCCAAAGAAGGUGAUAGCCCUGUAUAAGUAAUAGAAGAUAUUAAUAGUGGUAUCCUGAGUAGGGCGGGACACGAGAAAUCCUGUCUGAAUUUGGCGGGACCAUCCGCUAAGGCUAAAUACUCCUGAGAGACCGAUAGUGAACCAGUACCGUGAGGGAAAGGUGAAAAGAACCGUGAAUAACGGAGUGAAAUAGAUCCUGAAACCAUACGCUUACAAGCGGUCGGAGCCCUUUCGUGGGGUGACGGCGUGCCUUUUGCAUAAUGAGCCUACGAGUUAACGUUGCUGGCAAGGAUAAGUGGUUAAGCCACGGAUCCGUAGCGAAAGCGAGUCUGAAUAGGGCGCUUUAGUCAGUAGUGUUAGACGCGAAACCGUGUGAUCUACCCAUGGGCAGGUUGAAGCUGUGGUAACACACAGUGGAGGACCGAACCGGUUGACGUUGAAAAGUCUUCGGAUGACCUGUGGGUAGGGGUGAAAGGCCAAUCAAACUCGGAAAUAGCUCGUACUCCCCGAAAUGCAUUUAGGUGCAGCGUUGGUCAUAAAGUUAUAUAGAGGUAGAGCUACUGAUUGGAUGCGGGGGCUUCACCGCCUACCAAUUCCUGACAAACUCCGAAUGCUAUAUAAUGUUUACCAGCAGUGAGGGCAUGGGUGCUAAGGUCCAUGUCCGAGAGGGAAAGAACCCAGACCAUCAGCUAAGGUCCCAAAAUCUAUACUAAGUUGAAAUAACGAGGUUUGUCUGCCCAGACAGCUAGGAUGUUGGCUUGGAAGCAGCCAUUCAUUUAAAGAGUGCGUAACAGCUCACUAGUCGAGCGGACGAGCAUGGAUAAUAAUCGGGCAUAAGUAUAUUACCGAAGCUAUGGAUUUAGAGUUUACUCUAAGUGGUAGGGGAGCAUUCUCACAGGGUAGAAGGUGUAUCGUAAGGUAUGCUGGACCGGUGAGAAAAGAAAAUGUAGGCAUAAGUAACGAUAAUGCGGGCGAGAAACCCGCACACCGAAAGACUAAGGUUUCCACAGCUAUGCUAAUCAGCUGUGGGUUAGUCGGGACCUAAGGCGAACCCGAAAGGGACAGUCGAUGGACAACGGGUUAAUAUUCCCGUACUACUGUUAACUGUGAUGGGGUGACGGAGUGAUGAAAGUGCCGCGAACUGACGGAAUAGUUCGUUGAAGUACCUACCUAUAAGCUGCGCAGGCAAAUCCACGCGGCUUGGGGAAAUACGAUAGUACUCGGAGUCUUCGGACAAAGAGAUAGUGCGCCUAAGGGCUUCCAAGAAAAACCUCUAAACUUCAGGUAAUAAGUACCCGUACCGCAAACCGACACAGGUAGUCGAGGAGAGAAUCCUAAGGUGCUCGAGAGAUUCAUGGCUAAGGAAUUAGGCAAAAUAGACCCGUAACUUCGGGAGAAGGGUCGCCAGCAGCAAUGCUGGCCGCAGUGAAGAGGUCCAGGCGACUGUUUAUCAAAAACACAGGGCUCUGCAAAAUCGUAAGAUGAAGUAUAGGGCCUGACACCUGCCCGGUGCUGGAAGGUUAAGAGGAGAUGUUAUCUUCGGAGAAGCAUUGAAUUGAAGCCCCAGUAAACGGCGGCCGUAACUAUAACGGUCCUAAGGUAGCGAAAUUCCUUGUCGGGUAAGUUCCGACCUGCACGAAUGGUGUAACGAUCUGGACACUGUCUCAGCCAUGAGCUCGGUGAAAUUGUAGUA